UCAGGCGAUGUGUGCU
rnacentral:misc_RNA from 1 species